CAAACACUUUAUAAGAACGGCUCGCCGGCUGUUGCACGUUUUAUUUUCUUUCUCACCUCAUCGACAACCUUAUACCGUGUCCGUGUAACCGCUGGAGCCGACCGAAAAUAUUAUUAUUAUUAUCUAUUAUUGUGCGAAUACAUAAUAUAUUAUUCAGGUUUUUUUUUUUGUUUUAAUAUACUAUCGUUUUAAGUGCCAACAAUUCGUACACCGAAAAAAAACCGAAUAAUAUGGUUAAUAAACGAGUACUCGGAAUAAUUGCGGUAAUGGCAGUUCUAACCAUAUCUUUGGCGUCGGCUUAUACAACACACGAGAAACACAUCAUACAUGUACCGCUUUUCGUUCACUACAUCCAUCACCAUCAUAAACCGAUCAUCAAACACAAACCAAAAAUAAAAAAAUACAGAUCUAAGAAAGUCGUACAUCACUACCACAGCUAUUGGUUUUGAAUUCCUGCGACUACGAAAUUCGGGCCGUUUCCAUCCACCUUUAUUAUAAUAAUACUUAUAUUGAAAUAUUCAUUAAGGACCAAAAAAAAACCCGCUAAGGAGACGUUAAAAAUUUCCCUGUGUGUUUAUCAUAAAAAUUAAUAUAUAAAUAUAAUGUACCUAUUAAGCCCAAGUGUACAAACAACAUAAAAAAACGGCAUUAUUACAUAUAAACUUGAAGAUAAUAACGCUAAAAAACAUUUUUCUUUUAAAAUAGCCAACGUUGUGUUCGACCGGUAUAAGUAUAAUAUAUUACCACCUUUGGGAAUAUUACUUAACUUAGACUUAAGCUGCGAAUUCCAUUAAUUUACAAAAUACAUUAGUUGAUAUUUUAUACAUUGCCUAAAUUCCCAAAGUUAAGAUUUUAUUGUAAUUUGUAAUUCAUGAAUUUAACAGCUAUUGUAGAAGUAGAAAAUGUUUACCAAAAAAAAUAUAGGUAUAUAUAAUAUUAUAAAAUAAUAAUUACUAAAGACUAAAAUGUAAGCAUCGUUUUUGUUGACCAAAUGAAAAAUGCCAUUUUAUUAUUAGUAACCAACAAGUUACCUAUGACAAAAGACUAAAUAAAAUAAUCAUCAAAACAACUGUCGUACUUAAACAUUUAAACAAACCUUUUAAUUUGUACAAACAUCGUGUUGUUCCACUAUUUGAAGAUAUAUUUUCUUAAUUCGGGUUUUUAAUUUUUUUGGAACCUACCAUUUCCGGAAUCGACAAUGUAUACUUUGUAGUAUUAA